UCCCUCAGUAACUGCGAGUGAAGCGGGAAAAGCUCAGACUGAAAAUCUUCGGAAUUGUAGUCUGGAGAAGUAUGGUCAGCCGAUGGUGAUAAGUGAAGUCUUCUGGAAAGGAGCGCCUUGGAGGGUGAUAGCCCCGUUCAUACUUAUUACUAGAAGCGUACGACCUGCUUUCUACGAGUCGUGUUGUUUGGGACUGCAGCACUAAGUGGGUGGUAAAUUCCAUCUAAAGCUAAAUAUUGGUGGGAGACCGAUAGCGAACAAGUACCGUGAGGGAAAGAUGCAAAGAACUUUGAAAAGAGAGUUAAAUAGUACCUGAAAUUGCUGAAAUGGAACCGAUGGGAAGCAGUGUCGGUGGCGGGUAUUUAUACUUGUCACAAGCCAGGCUUCUUUUCUGGUGCGGGAAAGGCUGAUAAACCAGUUUGGGUUAUCUACGCCGUCGUGCUAGCGAAGGACUCUGACGAAAUGCUUCUCAUCACCCCGUCUUGAAA
rnacentral:rRNA from 1 species